rnacentral:rRNA from 1 species
CUACGGGUGGCUGCAGUGGGGAAUAUUGCGCAAUGGGCGGAGGCCUGACGCAGCAACGCCGCGUGAGGGAUGACGGCCUUCGGGUUGUAAACCUCUUUCAGCAGGGAAGAAGCGAGAGUGACGGUACCUGCAGAAGAAGCACCGGCUAACUACGUGCCAGCAGCCGCGGUAAUACGUAGGGUGCAAGCGUUGUCCGGAUUUAUUGGGCGUAAAGAGCUCGUAGGCGGUUAGUCGCGUCGGAUGUGAAAUCCUAGAGCUUAACUCUGGGCCUGCAUUCGAUACGGGCUGACUCGAGUAUUGUAGGGGAGACUGGAACUCCUGGUGUAGCGGUGAAAUGCGCAGAUAUCAGGAAGAACACCGGUGGCGAAGGCGGGUCUCUGGGCAAUUACUGACGCUGAGGAGCGAAAGCGUGGGGAGCAAACAGGAUUAGAUACCCCCGUAGUC